rnacentral:rRNA from 1 species
UACGGAGGGUGCAAGCGUUAUUCGGAAUUACUGGGCGUAAAGGGCGUGUAGGCGGGAAGGUAAGUCUGAUGUGAAAGCCCCGGGCUCAACCCGGGAAGUGCAUUGGAAACUGCUUUUCUUGAGUACCGGAGAGGAAGGGAGAAUUCCCGGUGUAGAGGUGAAAUUCGUAGAGAUCGGGAGGAACAUCAGUGGCGAAGGCGCCCUUCUGGACGGUUACUGACGCUGAGACGCGAAAGCGUGGGGAGCAAACAGG